UGCGCGUGCCGGCCAACCGUCGACGGGAGGCGGCGAGAAUAUAUGGAGUGGGAUGGACGCCGUCGCGAUGUUGCUGUUGCUGCUGGGCAGUGUAAAUGUUGCCUCGGCGGUGUGGAGAUACUCCAACAAAAUGGAAAGUCGAAUUACCAUAAAUACACGAAGGAGUGAGACGCAUCUCAUAACAGGCUGGAUUGGUCAAUUAUAUCAUUUUACUUUUCUUCCAAAGCAAGAGGAACUGCAAUCCUAAUUCGCAAAGGUAUACCAAUUAAACACAAAUCCGCUAUAGCCGAUAAGGAAGGUACAUUAUAAUAUCCGGGGAACUACACUCAACCACAC